rnacentral:rRNA from 1 species
CCUACGGGAGGCAGCAGUAAGGAAUAUUGGUCAAUGGACGCAAGUCUGAACCAGCCAUGCCGCGUGAAGGAUUAAGGUCCUCUGGAUUGUAAACUUCUUUUAUUUGGGACGAAAAAAGGGCCUUUCUAGGUCAACUGACGGUACCAGAUGAAUAAGCACCGGCUAACUCCGUGCCAGCAGCCGCGGUAAUACGGAGGGUGCAAGCGUUAUCCGGAUUCACUGGGUUUAAAGGGUGCGUAGGCGGGUAGGUAAGUCAGUGGUGAAAUCCUGGAGCUCAACUCCAGAACUGCCAUUGAUACUAUUUAUCUUGAAUAUUGUGGAGGUAAGCGGAAUAUGUCAUGUAGCGGUGAAAUGCUUAGAUAUGACAUAGAACACCUAUUGCGAAGGCAGCUUACUACGCAUAUAUUGACGCUGAGGCACGAAAGCGUGGGGAUCAAACAGGAUUAGAUACCCUGGUAGUCCACGCCCUAAACUAACUGAUUACUCGACAUUUGUUGAUACACAAUAAAGUAGUCUGAGCGAAAGCAUUAAGUAAUCCACCUGGAAGUACGUCCGCGAAGGAUGAAACUUAAAUAGAAUUAGACGG